CCUACGGGUGGCUGCAGUGGGGAAUAUUGGACAAUGGGCGAAAGCCUGAUCCAGCCAUGCCGCGUGUGUGAAGAAGGCCUUUGGGUUGUAAAGCACUUUCAGUGGGGAAGAAAGCCUUGGGGCUAAUACCCUCGAGGAAGGACAUCACCCACAGAAGAAGCACCGGCUAACUCCGUGCCAGCAGCCGCGGUAAUACGGAGGGUGCGAGCGUUAAUCGGAAUUACUGGGCGUAAAGCGCGCGUAGGCGGUCUGAUAAGCCGGUUGUGAAAGCCCCGGGCUCAACCUGGGAACGGCAUCCGGAACUGUCAGGCUAGAGUGCAGGAGAGGAAGGUAGAAUUCCCGGUGUAGCGGUGAAAUGCGUAGAGAUCGGGAGGAAUACCAGUGGCGAAGGCGGCCUUCUGGACUGACACUGACGCUGAGGUGCGAAAGCGUGGGUAGCAAACAGGAUUAGAUACCCCUGUAGUC
rnacentral:rRNA from 1 species